GUGGGGAAUCUUGCGCAAUGGGCGAAAGCCUGACGCAGCCAUGCCGCGUGAAUGAUGAAGGUCUUAGGAUUGUAAAAUUCUUUCACCGGGGACGAUAAUGACGGUACCCGGAGAAGAAGCUCCGGCUAACUUCGUGCCAGCAGCCGCGGUAAUACGAAGGGGGCUAGCGUUGCUCGGAAUUACUGGGCGUAAAGGGCGCGUAGGCGGAUCGUUAAGUCAGGGGUGAAAUCCCAGAGCUCAACUCUGGAACUGCCCUUGAUACUGGCGAUCUUGAGUGUGAGAGAGGUAUGUGGAACUCCGAGUGUAGAGGUGAAAUUCGUAGAUAUUCGGAAGAACACCAGUGGCGAAGGCGACAUACUGGCUCAUUACUGACGCUGAGGCGCGAAAGCGUGGGGAGCAAACAGGAUUAGAUACCCUAGUAGUCC
rnacentral:rRNA from 1 species